rnacentral:rRNA from 1 species
UACGGAGGGUGCAAGCGUUAUCCGGAUUUACUGGGUUUAAAGGGUGCGUAGGUGGGCCUGUAAGUCAGUGGUGAAAUCUUCAAGCUUAACUUGGAAACUGCCAUUGAUACUAUAGGUCUUGAAUUAUCUGGAGGUAAGCGGAAUAUGUCAUGUAGCGGUGAAAUGCUUAGAGAUGACAUAGAACACCCAUUGCGAAGGCAGCUUACUACGGAUUGAUUGACACUGAGGCACGAAAAGCGUGGGGAUCAAACAGG